rnacentral:rRNA from 1 species
GACGGAGGAUGCAAGUGUUAUCCGGAAUCACUGGGCGUAAAGCGUCUGUAGGUGGUCAAAUAAGUCAACUGUUAAAUCUUGAGGCUCAACCUCAAAAUCGCAGUCGAAACUAUUCGACUAGAGUAUAGUAGGGGUAAAGGGAAUUCCAGUGGAGCGGUGAAAUGACGUAGAGAUUGGAAAAGAACACCGAUGGCGAAGGCACUUUUACUGGGCUAUUUUACUAAACACUGAGAGACGAAAAGCUAGGGUAGCAAAUGGGGGAUUAAGAAA